rnacentral:lncRNA from 1 species
GCUGUUAUGGCUCCCUUCUUACAAAGAACCAUCUCCUAAUCAAAAUGCCCUUCAUGCUCCUGCCCUUGGCUUUCCUUCUCAGGCAGUGACAUCCUUUAAGAGUUGUGCACACUUGUUCUCAAUAGUCUGUCUUCUCCAAGUUUCCCCUGAACUCACUUUGGCCAGGUUUGCUUCAGCUUCUCCUGGCUCCUCCCUGUCCACACGACCUCUUGUCAUGGCGCGUGCCAAGGCUCAGGCUUGCGAGCUUCCCUUUCUGCUCAUUCUCACUCUUCAGUGCCAACACUGACUUUAAAUGGCAUCGCCCUGACCUGCACCCCUGCCUGUAGGGCAGCCUUCCUUUUUACUCCACUGUGUAUGCUAUGGUUCCACUCCAUCCUUCUGGGGACUCAGCAAUGGACUUCUUCCAAGGCAGCCGGCUCUGCUGGACACGCCCUCCUUCUGAUGUAGGUUCCUCCUGGGUCUUCUUUGACUUGCUGUCUCCUUUGCAGGCUGGCCUUGCUGUUGCCA